rnacentral:lncRNA from 1 species
GAGGUCUGACACAACAAUUACAGCUUCAUAGAUAAGCUUAGUCAAUAAAUUUAGUGGCUUUUUUUCUGUUUUCCAGGCAGAUAUUUCUGAUUAUACUGUCCGCUCUUGGUGUUUUCUAGCGUUUAGAAGGUGGUCUUCUUGGACCAAACUCUUCACCUGUAUCAUUUCUUUUUCUUACUUGCAUUACGGUUUGGUUGUUGACCAAUGGUUUAUAAUCAAAAUUUAAUAUGGCUGGCGGUAAAGGUAAAGAGAAGUUUAAAGGAACAAACAUUAGAGAGCGUCUUGUCAAUUAAAAUGACUGCUACAGUUGCCGAAAUAACAAAAGGAAUAAUGACUUAAUUAAAUUACGCACUCAACUGAUCAAAUGGUGGUGGUCGGCGCGUAAAAGGCAAUUCACCCGAUGUAUAACAUUCAUACUUUUUCCUAAUUG